rnacentral:lncRNA from 1 species
CUAACAUCCUAGCUUGACCUAGGACCUUCCUUGUCACAAUGGGAGAUGACCAGUCUGUCAUCACAGUUCAUCACCACCCUGGUAUCAGACCUAAUCUCAACCUAUUGAUUGACUUAGCAAUUUGACAUCAUACCUCUCUUAUCACCACAAAUUGCCCGAUGGUCCAGACUUUUGAUUGAAGCUGGAUGCUGUCUCUGUUCAACUCCCUUUGGUAAUGUGGGAGGCCCCUGCCCUGUUGGCUGUAUUGUCUUCCUCGGCUUCCUGAUCCACAGUUUUUGUCCUUCCUGAAGUGGUGCCUGGGUGCAGUAAUCUCCUGUCUCUGUUUUCCAGUCCAAGAGGGAUAUACAAUAGAAAAUCAGAGAUACUUUCAUCAACGCUGUAGGCUAUCGCAUCACUUGGACCCAGUACAUAUGCCUUUUAUGCCCAAAGCUACGUUUCUGAGUCUGGUGCUCUUUUUAGUCUGAUUUCCUAAGGAAACCUGUACAUAUUCCUCAGAAAAGAUUCCAUCAGAAGCCACAGUCCAGCAUGAGAAACAAACCAGGAUAAAAGGAGGCUUCUGUGGAUCUAGUGCUCAGAUGAUGAUUUUUUUUUUUUUUUUUUUAAAAAAAAUAAAGAGGAUGAGAAGGUACA